rnacentral:rRNA from 1 species
UAACCCUUUGUUGUCCGACUCUGUUGCCUCCGGGGCGACCCUGCCUUCGGGCGGGGGCUCCGGGUGGACACUUCAAACUCUUGCGUAACUUUGCAGUCUGAGUAAACUUAAUUAAUAAAUUAAAACUUUUAACAACGGAUCUCUUGGUUCUGGCAUCGAUGAAGAACGCAGCGAAAUGCGAUAAGUAAUGUGAAUUGCAGAAUUCAGUGAAUCAUCGAAUCUUUGAACGCACAUUGCGCCCCCUGGUAUUCCGGGGGGCAUGCCUGUUCGAGCGUCAUUUCACCACUCAAGCCUCGCUUGGUAUUGGGCAACGCGGUCCGCCGCGUGCCUCAAAUCGACCGGCUGGGUCUUCUGUCCCCUAAGCGUUGUGGAAACUAUUCGCUAAAGGGUGCUCGGGAGGCUACGCCGUAAAACAAACCCAUUUCUAAGGUUGACCUCGGAUCAGGUAGGGAUACCCGCUGAACUUAAGCAUAUCA